rnacentral:tRNA from 1 species
UACUCGCUUGGUGAAAAUGGUAAACACGGCAGUCUCAAAAUCUGUUCCUAUGGGUUAUCGGUUCGAAUCCGAUAGCGAGUAU